rnacentral:rRNA from 1 species
CCAAACAGCUAGCCCGCCCCCAUAAACCCAAAACACCACCAUAAAUAACCCCAAACACACAACAACAAAUCCAACCAAAUCAUUUUACCCCCUUAGUACGGGAGACGGAAAAGGACUUAGGAGCUAUAGAUAAAGUACCGCAAGGGAACGCUGAAAGAGAAAUGAAACAACCCAGUAAAGUAAUAAAAAGCAGAGAUUAAAACUCGUACCUUUUGCAUCAUGAUUUAGCCAGAAAACCCAAGCAAAGAGCACUUUAGUUUGAUACCCCGAAACUAAGUGAGCUACUCCAAGACAGCCUAUUUUAGGGCCAACCCGUCUCUGUGGCAAAAGAGUGGGGAAGAGCUUUGAGUAGAGGUGACAGACCUACCGAACUUAGUAAUAGCUGGUGGCCUAGGAACUGAAUUUAAGUUCAGCCUUUUAACUUCUCCACUCAUCCCGUCCUUAACCCACUUGAUACUAAAGAAGUCAAAAGAGUUAGUCAAAGGGGGUACAGCCCCUUUGAACCAAGAUACAACUUUUCCAGCUGGGUAAAGAUCAAAUUCACCAAAGGAAUAAAUGUCUUAGUGGGCCUAAAAGCAGCCACCCAAACAGAAAGCGUUAAAGCUCAGACAUAACAAUAGCCCUUCCUACAAUCCUUAUAGCCCAAUCUUAACCCCCUUCCACCUACUAGGCUGUUUCAUGCAAACAUGAAAACACUACUGCUAAUAUGAGUAAUAAGAGAGAGCCGAUCUCUCUCCUCGCACGCACAUACAUCGGAACGGACCCUCCACCGAACAUUACCGGCCCCAAACAAAGAGGGAAAUGAACAACAAAUAAACAGCCAGAAAAACCCCCAAAAAACAACCGUUAAGCCCACACCGGCGUGCCAAUGAGGAAAGACCUAAAGAAAAAGAAGGAACUCGGCAAACACCAAGCCUCGCCUGUUUACCAAAAACAUCGCCUCUUGUAUACCAAAUAUAGGAGGUCCCGCCUGCCCAGUGACAUCAAGUUUAACGGCCGCGGUAUUUUGACCGUGCAAAGGUAGCGCAAUCACUUGUCUUUUAAAUGAAGACCCGUAUGAAUGGCACAACGAGGGCCUAACUGUCUCCUUUUUCAAGUCAAUGAAAUUGAUCUCCCCGUGCAGAAGCGGGGAUAAUAACAUAAGACGAGAAGACCCUAUGGAGCUUUAGACACUAAAGCAGACCUUGUUAAACAACUCUAAACAAAGAACUAAACCAAAAGGACCCUGCCUGCAUGUCUUUGGUUGGGGCGACCGCGGGGAACACAAAACCCCCAUGUGGAACGGGAGAACUUCUCCUACAACCAAGAGCUACAGCUCUAAGCAAUAGAAUUUCUAACCAAAAUGAUCCGGCAAUGCCGAUCAACGGACCGAGUUACCCUAGGGAUAACAGCGCAAUCCCCUUCUAGGGUCCAUAUCGACAAGGGGGUUUACGACCUCGAUGUUGGAUCAGGACAUCCUAAUGGUGCAGCCGCUAUUAAGGGUUCGUUUGUUCAACGAUUAAAGUCCUACGUGAUCUGAGUUCAGACCGGAGUAAUCCAGGUCAGUUUCUAUCUAUGAAAUGUUUCUUUCUAGUACGAAAGGACCGAAAAAAAGAGGCCCAUGCUUAAAGCACGCCUCCUCCUUACCUAAUGAGGUCAACUAAAUUAGGCAAAAGGACAUACCCCUAACGCCUAAAAUAAAGGC